rnacentral:rRNA from 1 species
AGCGGAGGAAAAGAAACUACCAAGGAUUCCCCUAGUAACGGCGAGUGANGCGGGANCNGCUCAANUUUUAAAUCUGGCUGCUUCGCAGUCCGAGUUGUAAUUUGAAGGCGUCUGUCGCAUGUGAGACGAUGGCACAAGUCCUCUGGAACGUGGCAUCGUAGAGGGUGAGAAUCCCGUCUCUGGUCGUUGUCUUGCAGGCACACGGCAGGCGAUCCGAAGAGUCGAGUUGUUUGGGAUUGCAGCUCCAAAUGGGUGGUAAACUCCAUCUAAGGCUAAAUAUUGGCGAGAGACCGAUAGCGAACAAGUACCGUGAGGGAAAGAUGAAAAGAACUUUGAAAAGAGAGUAAAACAGUACGUGAAAUUGUUGAAAGGGAAACGCUUGAAGUCAGUCGUGCCGGCGGGGAUUCAGCGAACUUCGCGGAGUGAGCGUAUUUCCUCGCAUGGCAGGUCAGCGUCAGUUUUGCGCGUCGUGAAAGGGCUCGGGUAAGGUGACUCUCUUCGGGGAGUGUUAUAGGCCUGAGCAGAUGCGAUGCGCGGGACUGAGGAUUGCAGCGGACACCCUUCGGGGCGCGGCGACCGAUCCCUGCUCUGUCACCUUCGUCCGAUAGCGUGCUAACGGUCGGGGGAGCGGCGGUUGCACCGGGUUGGCAAGCCGGCGGCUYCCCUUAAGAUGCUGGCGUAAUGGCUUUAAACGACCC